UCCGCUACUCUUUCCAUCGAUGUUGAUAGCGGCCACACGGCUCACUCAGACCAUUAGGAUAUCGAAAACAGCCGACAAACGAUAUAAUCAUCCGAAACCUUUUUCUAUAUAUCGCCUCAGAUAACGGUUGAUGGUAAUACGGAAGAUAUAUGUCGCAGUUGAUGAACAACUUUUAUUACGCAAACGUGGGAAAUGGUUCUGUUGAAGAGCUUGAAUUGGCUGGUCUCGUUUACCUCAUUGGUAAUACACACCGGAACAUUUAUUCACUGCACAAGAAACGCCAAGUAGAAUUGCCGUUCGUAGACUCUCCCCCCCGCUACCCCUCUUUGUACAGAGGCAACUGCUCUCUGGUGCAGCCUGACUGUGUUUAUGCACGGCCAACGAACCCCGUUUGCCGACACGAAAACUUGCUAAGAAGCAACAAAUUCACGAUUAAGGGAUUUCAAACUCUUUUGCGUCCGCCUUCAGUUCAAGAGUAACAACGACAAAAGCCGUUGUUGUCUCCCUAGACAGAGUCAGAACUAGCCCUAAAUACUGUAAUUGUGCUGUGUUGUAGAAUGCCUUUGCUCGUCUGCAGCAUCUUCUUUCGUAAGCUUCAUUCAACAGCUACAAAACUUACAUGCAACCACAGGGGGGAAUGUUGUACGUUGUAAAUUAAAACAAAUGUUCGCAUACUUUUCUACUGCGUGGAGAAACCGCUCAUCUAGUACACAGGCAAUGAGACUUCGCGCUUACUCGGUGGCAUAUAGUACGGAAAUGACUAUGCUGGGACCUGCGGCAAAGUACACCCUGGAGCUAUUACCUCUUGCAUUCGUUGGACGAACAGCCUCAACCGUUACCCAGCACCCCUUUGCUGCAGUACAGACAUUUGUACAGCCUCGCCAUUAUAAAGGCGUUGAAGCUUGAUGAAAAAGAGAUGUUGCCCUUCCCGUAGAAGGUCAAGUCAUUCGAGAGGAUUAUUGCGAAUCUGAUGUUGGGCUGACUGAGCUAAUGAACUGCUGGCUAAGGUUAUCUAAGUAGGCAAAACAUCGGAUGGCGUUUAAGAUGAGCUAAAAGAAUCAAGGAAGAGGACAGACGAUUUGAAGAUAAUAGCAAGCUGCAGCCUAAAUAUCUUCGAAGCUAAAUGUUUAGCCGCUCAGACCAUAUAAAUCCGAAUUAAAUAAAAACAGAAC